GCCGGGUGUGGUGGCCCAUGUCUGUCAUCCCAGCAGCUUGGGAGGCUGAGGCAGGAGGAUCGCAAGUUCAAGGCCAGCCUCAGCAAUUUAGCAAGGCUGUAAGGAACUCAGCGAGACCCUGUCUCCA
rnacentral:sRNA from 1 species